rnacentral:rRNA from 1 species
AUUGAACGCUGGCGGCAGGCCUAACACAUGCAAGUCGAGCGGAGCGGCGGACGGGCGAGUAAUGCCUAGGAAUCUGCCUGGCAGUGGGGGAUAACGUCCGGAAAGGGGCGCUAAUACCGCAUACUAUCAGAUGAGCCUAGGUCGGAGUAGCUAGUUGGUGGGGUAAGGGCCUACCAAGGCGACGAUCCGUAACUGGUCUGAGAGGAUGAACAGCCACACUGGAACUGAGACACGGUCCAGACUCCUACGGGAGGCAGCAGUGGGGAAUAUUGGACAAUGGGCGAAAGCCUGAUACAGCCAUGCCGCGUGUGUGAAGAAGGUCUUCGGAUUGUAAAGCACUUUCAGUUGGGAGGCGUUACCAGCAGAAUAAGCACCGGCUAACUUCGUGCCAGCAGCCGCGGUAAUAC